rnacentral:lncRNA from 1 species
GGACAGGGGGCGGAAACGUAUGAAGUCGCAUCGGUCGCAGGUGUAGGGGAGGAAAUCGAUCUGGUGGCAGUCGCCGACGCUGCAGUGCCGCCCCAGGUCAGGGAACUCCGGCGUUCCCAUGGCCCGUCGGAACCGCGCGGCCUUCGGGAGAUCCGAGCAAACUCGCCGACUCGCGCCCGUCCGCUCCGACGGCUGCCUCGGUCGCUGCCACCGGCAGGGAAGGGGGGAGAAGGUCGCUCGCACGCAAGUACGCGGAACGACGGAAGGGGCACGAAAAUCGAGGAAGGUCGCUCGCACGCACGUACGCGGAACGGCGGAAGGGGCACGUA